UCUUGAUGUGAAACUCAAUGUUAAUAAGAGAAGGGGGAGGAAAAGUUGCCAGACAGCAUGUGUGCUUUGGGUCUGCUUUAAUCUACACCAGAAAUGAUUUUUUGACAACAGUAAGAUCAAGGAGAUGAAGAAGGGUACAACAAUGACUAGGCAAUAUUUUCAUUGGCAAGGUUUAAGAAGACUGGAAGGAAAGAACUUCAUACAGAUCAACAGCCUUUGUUGUCACUAGGAAGGCCUAAUGCACAUGUGUGAGCUCAGAAGGGACGUGUAUCAACUGUGAGGUGAUGAUCCCUCCUACUCUAUAGACAAGACAACUGGCCUUGAUCAUCUGAGGAUCAUGAAGCUCGAAGUGCACAGGAAGAGCUUCACUGGACCUGAUGUGGCUUGUGUCCAACCUUUUAAAACCAACUCAUCUGGUGUUCUCUGUAUCUUACAAAAUAAUUGCAAUGCAGUAUUUUCUAGUGUUGGACGAUACUUUCAAACUCUAAUGUGCAAAAAAACCUGGGGAUCUUG